rnacentral:rRNA from 1 species
GACGAACGCUGGCGGCGUGCUUAACACAUGCAAGUCGAGCGGUAAGGCCCUUUUGGGGGGUACACGAGCGGCGAACGGGUGAGUAACACGUGGGUGACCUGCCCUCAGCUCUGGGAUAAGCCUGGGAAACUGGGUCUAAUACUGGAUAUGACCUUUCCUCGCAUGGGGUUGGGGUGGAAAGUUUUUCGGCUGGGGAUGGGCCCGCGGCCUAUCAGCUUGUUGGUGGGGUGAUGGCCUACCAAGGCGACGACGGGUAGCCGGCCUGAGAGGGCGACCGGCCACACUGGGACUGAGACACGGCCCAGACUCCUACGGGAGGCAGCAGUGGGGAAUAUUGCGCAAUGGGCGGAAGCCUGACGCAGCGACGCCGCGUGGGGGAUGACGGCC